rnacentral:snoRNA from 1 species
GCAGGGCCAAAUACUGUGUUCUUUUUUAUCAGUUGUUUACAUAGCCAGACAUCAUGCAAAAAAAUAAGA